CGUUUACUAAUCUGGAUCUAGGUCAAAUUUUACAGUAGCAAAAACUUGUUUGAGUAGGUUAAACGGAAAUAGAAUUUCGAGACGAAACUCUAGGCGCUUGAAUCGCCUGAUUCCGAUAAACGAGCGAAAAGUUAAACA